rnacentral:rRNA from 1 species
CCUACGGGCGGCAGCAGUGGGGAAUAUUGGGCAAUGGGCGCAAGCCUGACCCAGCAACGCCGCGUGAAGGAAGAAGGCUUUCGGGUUGUAAACUUCUUUUCUCAGGGACGAAGCAAGUGACGGUACCUGAGGAAUAAGCCACGGCUAACGACGUGCCAGCAGCCGCGGUAAGACGUAGGUGGCAAGCGUUAUCCGGAUUUACUGGGUGUAAAGGGCGUGAAGGCGGGACAGCAAGUCAGAUGUGAAAACCACGGGCUCAACCUGUGGCCUGCAUUUGAAACUGUAGUUCUAGAGUUCUGGAGAGGCAGACGGAAUUCCUAGUGUAGCGGUGAAAUGCGUAGAUAUUAGGAGGAACACCAGUGGCGAAGGCGGUCUGCUGGACAGCAACUGACGCUGAGGCGCGAAAGCGUGGGGAGCAAACAGGAUUAGAUACCCCAGUAGUC